rnacentral:rRNA from 1 species
UAGGGAAUCUUCGGCAAUGGACGGAAGUCUGACCGAGCAACGCCGCGUGAGUGAAGAAGGUUUUCGGAUCGUAAAGCUCUGUUGUUAGAGAAGAACGUUGGUAGGAGUGGAAAAUCUACCAAGUGACGGUAACUAACCAGAAAGGGACGGCUAACUACGUGCCAGCAGCCGCGGUAAUACGUAGGUCCCGAGCGUUGUCCGGAUUUAUUGGGCGUAAAGCGAGCGCAGGCGGUUCUUUAAGUCUGAAGUUAAAGGCAGUGGCUUAACCAUUGUACGCUUUGGAAACGGGAGGACUUGAGUGCAGAAGGGGAGAGUGGAAUUCCAGGUGUAGCGGUGAAAUGCGUAGAUAUAUGGAGGAACACCGGUGGCGAAAGCGGCUCUCUGGUCUGUAACUGACGCUGAGGCUCGAAAGCGUGGGGAGCAAACAGG